rnacentral:rRNA from 1 species
UACGAGGGGUGCAAGCGUUUGCUCGGAAUUACUGGGCGUAAAGCGAGUGUAGGCGGUUUGGUAAGUCGGAUGUGAAAGCCCCGGGCUCAACCCGGGAAGUGCACUCGAUACUGCCAAGCUAGAGUAUCGGAGAGGGUGGCGGAAUUCCCCAAGUAGAGGUGAAAUUCGUAGAUAUGGGGAGGAACACCGGUGGCGAAGGCGGCCACCUGGACGGUAACUGACGCUGAGACGCGAAAGCGUGGGGAGCAAACAGG